rnacentral:rRNA from 1 species
UACGUAGGGUGCGAGCGUUAAUCGGAAUUACUGGGCGUAAAGGGCGCGUAGGCGGUCAGCACAAGUCAGUUGUGAAAUCUCCGGGCUUAACUCGGAAAGGUCAACUGAUACUGUGCGACUAGAGUGCAGAAGGGGCAACUGGAAUUCUCGGUGUAGCGGUGAAAUGCGUAGAUAUCGAGAGGAACACCUGCGGCGAAGGCGGGUUGCUGGGCCGACACUGACGCUGAUGCGCGAAAGCCAGGGGAGCGAACGGG